rnacentral:lncRNA from 13 species
AAGAAACUGCUCUGGGACAAAGCAAAAACUAAAAUUAGAGAAACUCUGCCAUAUAUCUUUCAAGAUCACGACCACCAGCCCCUAGCCAGAGAGGCCAGCUCCACCCUGCACCAUCGUGUCCCCUCCAGAGAGGUCAGCUCCACCCUACACCAUCGGUUCCCUUCCAGAGAGGCCAGCUCCACCAUAAAAAUCGGGCCCCAUCCAGAGCAGCAAACACCAGAUAGACCAGCUCCAGCCUGUAAUGUCAAAUCCCUUCCAGAGUGGACAGCAAAUAAGGUAUUAUUUGUGAUCAGAAAUAUAAUUAUUAGAAAUACAACCUAUUAUCAUUAUGAGUUCAGUUUCAUAUAAGCUAUCCAGGAAAGGGUUGAAGUUAGCUUACAUAAAUAUAUGUAGCCUCAGAUACAAAGUCCAUGAGAUUGCAAAUUAGCUUAUUUUAGAUAAUAUUAAAGCUACAAUGUGUAAUUUUUGGACGACCUGACCAAAUUCACAAAGAAAUGUGAGUUAGAGAUCUUCCAUUCUCAUUUAAAGCAAGCCUAAGAUGCGUUAGAUCUGUUCUAUGGGCGCUAUUUAUAUGCUUCCCGUUCUUAAGAUUUGUUUUUGCAUCUUUUACUUUUGGUUUUGUACACCAGCUUCAAACAGCUGAGAAUACAAUAUUUUUGGUUAUGGAAAAUAUAUUUCACAGCAGUUUAGAUGGUACAAUGAUUCUCUACACUCUACUUGCUUGUUUUGUCACAAACUGAAAUUAGGCAAAUGGCGGAGCAAUUUCUGCAUAGGGUAUCUUUAAGUUUCGUUUUUGUGUCUUUUACUUUCAGCUUUGUACACCAGCUUCAUACAGCUGAAAAUACAAUAUUUUUGGUUAUUGAAAAGAUAUUUCACAGUGGUUUAGAUGGUACAAUGAUUCUUUACACUGACUGAACCAUCGGUGUACCGUUCGUUCAAUCAACAUCCAAACUUAAAUAAUGACAGAUAAUCAUUUGGAAUGCAUUGAUUAUUUUUUUAUGUCAUCCACAAUAUUUAAUUACUGAACAGAUGGUGUGGGUGUGGAUAAGAGGGUCUUAUUUUCAAAGUAAAAGCUGUGUGACUAACAUUGGAACUUUACCUGACCAUCACUCUAGCUAGCUAGCUUCCACCAUUAGUUAUAUAAGGGCCACCAACAUGUAACAUUGGUGUAUUUGUGUUAUUUAUUUUUUAGUCUUUUUUUGCUAAUCUUUAUCAAAUGUGUCAAAUUUUGGACCUGACUAUUUUAUCUUGACAUUGAAAUUGUGACUUAAAAGUUUUUCAUUUUGUUAAUAUGUUAGCAUGUUUGUUAAUGCGUUAAAUUUACUAACAUUUCAUAGUUAGUAAAUGCUUUGCCAUCUCUAAAUCGAUGAAUCAUUUAACAUCUUUACCAGCUGUCUCAUUUAAUUCAUUGAUAUGUGUUGAGAGUAUACAUAAUGUCGCUAAGGGAAGCAAAGUUAUCCAAAUGUUAGCAUUAUUUCAACUUUAUUCUUACAAAUAUAUGGGGUGAUCACAUCAGAGCCAAAGCAAAGUAGCAGUUACUGAAAUAAAGUUACUGGAUUAUGUUUUUCAACAGAAGUAAAGCAUGGAAAAUAUACAACACAUGACAUAAUACAUUUUAUUUUAUCCAUACCAACAGACAUAAGUGUAACUCUUGUGAUUGCCAUAUCAACAGUUGAUUGAAAUUUGUUUUAGUGCAGCUCAAAAACAAAAACCUAGGGCCAUAAAAAUAGUAGCACAAAAAAACAUACAAAACAUCCAUCAAAUAAUGAAUAUUUGAUGAUCUCGAGGGCCUCUGUACAUACUAGUGACAAGUGCUAACCAGAAGAGUAUUGUCCUCACUGAAGUGCCUGUGAGAGGAAGCUACUAGACUACUGAGACACGGCCAGUAUCUCCUCAAGGUGAGGAGGUGUUGAAGGUGCCCUACAGGGGUCGGCAGGAGGCAAAGGGAAGAAGUCCUUGCGGGCGAACAUGAAGAUUUCGCACAGUUUUUCGUAGUAACAGGAAAUGCAAGAAGUCGGCCAUCAUGGGGUGGAGCUCUGGGUGCUGCCACAGGUACUUAUAUAACACACAUACGCAUCAAAUCAAACGAUGUCACAUGUGCCGAAUACAACAAGUGUAGACUUUACCGUGAAAUGCUUACAAGCCCUUAACCAAUAGUGCAGUUCAAGAAGAGUUAAAAAAUAUAUAUUUACCAAGUAGACUAAAAUAAAAAGUAAUAAUAAAAAAGUAACAAAAAGAAUAAGAAUUACGAGUCAGAGUGUGGGGUACAGGUUAGUUAAGGUAAUUUGUACAUGUAGGUGGGGGUAGAGUGACAAUGCAUAGAUAAUAAACAGUGAGUAGCAGCAGAGUACAAAAGGGAGGGGGGGUGUCAAUGUAAAUUGUCCGGUGGCGAUUUAAUUAAUUGUUCAGCAUUCUUAUGGCUUGGAGGUAGAAGCUAUUCAGGAGCCUCUUAGUCCUAGACUUGGCGCUCCGGUACCGCUUGCCGUGCGGUAGCAGAGAAAACAGUCUAUAACUUGGGUGACACUACCCGUUCACACUACCCUCUGAAGCGCCUUACGGUCAGAUGCCGAGCAGUUGCCAUACCAUGCGGUGAUGCAACCGGUCAGGAUGCUCUCGAUGGUGCAGCUGUAGAACAUUUUGAGGAUCUGUGGGCCCAUGCCAAAUCUUUUCAGUCUCCUGAAGGGGAAAAGGUCUUGUCGUACCCUCUUCACAACUGUCUAGGUAUGUUUGGACCAUGAUAGUUCGUUGGUGAUGUGGACACCAAGCAUAAAAAGCAUUUAGCUCAUCUGGUAGGCUCACGUCACUGGGCAGCCCAGAUUAGUCUCCCACUCCUUGAAAGCGGAAGCUCUAGCCUUUAGCUCGAUGCGGAUGUUGCCUGUAAUCCAUAGCCUUUGGUUGGGAAAUGUACGUACAGUCACUGUGGGGAUGACGUUGUCGAUGCACUUAUUGAUGAAGCCAUUGA